rnacentral:rRNA from 2 species
CGAACGCUGGCGGCGUGCUUAACACAUGCAAGUCGAACGGAAAGGCCCUUCGGGGUACUCGAGUGGCGAACGGGUGAGUAACACGUGGGUGAUCUGCCCUGCACUUUGGGAUAAGCCUGGGAAACUGGGUCUAAUACCGAAUAUGACCAUGCACUUCCUGGUGUGUGGUGGAAAGCUUUUGCGGUGUGGGAUGGGCCCGCGGCCUAUCAGCUUGUUGGUGGGGUAAUGGCCUACCAAGGCGACGACGGGUAGCCGGCCUGAGAGGGUGACCGGCCACACUGGGACUGAGAUACGGCCCAGACUCCUACGGGAGGCAGCAGUGGGGAAUAUUGCACAAUGGGCGCAAGCCUGAUGCAGCGACGCCGCGUGAGGGAUGACGGCCUUCGGGUUGUAAACCUCUUUCAGCACAGACGAAGCGCAAGUGACGGUAUGUGCAGAAGAAGGACCGGCCAACUACGUGCCAGCAGCCGCGGUAAUACGUAGGGUCCGAGCGUUGUCCGGAAUUACUGGGCGUAAAGAGCUCGUAGGUGGUUUGUCGCGUUGUUCGUGAAAACUCACAGCUUAACUGUGGGCGUGCGGGCGAUACGGGCAGACUUGAGUACUGCAGGGGAGACUGGAAUUCCUGGUGUAGCGGUGGAAUGCGCAGAUAUCAGGAGGAACACCGGUGGCGAAGGCGGGUCUCUGGGCAGUAACUGACGCUGAGGAGCGAAAGCGUGGGGAGCGAACAGGAUUAGAUACCCUGGUAGUCCACGCCGUAAACGGUGGGUACUAGGUGUGGGUUUCCUUCCUUGGGAUCCGUGCCGUAGCUAACGCAUUAAGUACCCCGCCUGGGGAGUACGGCCGCAAGGCUAAAACUCAAAGAAAUUGACGGGGGCCCGCACAAGCGGCGGAGCAUGGGAUUAAUUCGAUGCGACGCGAA